GGGCGGCUAGCUCAGGGGUAGAGCAUUACCUUCACACGGUAGGGGUCGGGGGUUCGAAACCCUCGCCGCCCACCA
rnacentral:tRNA from 2 species